GCCAAUUCUUUAUGAAGCUUCAGAUUUUCUUUGCUAAGUGCUUCCUUUUCCUCCUUUAGCUCCGUGACCAUACGGAAAAGAGAUCCCUUUUGGUCAUUCAGUUCGACAACCUCUGCCUCUACUCUCUCUUUCUGUGCCAGUCUCUUCUCGAGCGCGAAGGCUACAUCUUGAGCCUCUGCAUCCUUCUUUGCCUGACUUUCGGUCAAUAGAGCUGCUUGAGCCACCAUAAUUUCACGCAGCUCAUUUGCUGUUGACGAAAUCUGGUCUUGGAUUUGGUCCAGCUUUUCAAUUUGAGAUAUAGAUUUGCCAGUAGAGGCAGCGUGGUCAAGAAGAGUGUUCAACUUGUCGUGGACUUGUGUGUCGUCGUACUUUUCCGGGAUAACAAUCUCUCGAGGCUCCACUGGAGGAGGUGGUGGGGGAAGAGCUGGUAAUAAAGGAGGGAUGGCUGAUGGGAUGGCUGAGACGUUUCUUUGGAGUUCCUCGCUAGUCUGUUGCGAGUGGUCAUAAUGCUUUGAGACCAUGGACAAGAUAUCUUGGAUAGUAGUGAGAAUUUUUGGAUGGGAGUCAGCGAGUUGGCUUUCUAGUCGAUUUGUUGCUUCAAGUGCUCGUGUUAAUUCUCCCUUGAGAUGAUCAUGCUGUGAUUGGACGUCAGAGCGGAGGUCAUCCACUUUCGAAAAGGAUUCAUCGACACGAUGGAAAAAGGUCUUAGCAUCAUCGCUCAUCCUCUCACAAGCCUGAGUUACGCUGUCUCCCAUGCCACCUAUAACGAGCUUGAGAUCUUCUGCUAUGUUUUUGGUGUUCGUCAAGGUGUCCAGGCUUUGGACAUCACGUUGUUCGAUAGCAGUGAAUUUUGAAUCUGCUAGCAUCUGCGCGUCUUCGUACUUAGCCAACAACUCAGCAAACUUCUCGUCGAUUUUCGUUCCAAGGUCCAACACUAUUGCUGCUCGGGCUUCCUCGUGUUUUGCAGACGAGGAAAUUUCUCUUUCAGCCGUUUCAAUUUUCUCAGCCUCCCGAUCACCAUGGGAUCGGUCAAAUUCGCGAGUGAUGAGGUCACUAAGCUCCUUGAGGCUUUCAGCGGUAGCGAAUGACUCUGACGCAUCACUCAACGCUCCCAGAAUUGUCUUGAUGUCGACAAGGCCUUCAUCGCUGUCGGUGAGUUUGCUCUUGAGUUCAUCCUUCAAAUCAGUGAUAAGCUGCUUAGCUUCGUCGAUUUUUUCUGCCAAUCCACCAUGCUCGAUCUUUCGGGACUCAAACGCCUGAGCCGUGAGGUCGUUUUCCACCUCCACCUUUUCCUUGAACUCAGUUACCAUAUGGCAAAUGGCACCUAUGUCGUCUUUUGUCGGAAGAGUUUCAAUGUCGGGCAGAACGAAAUCCUCAAGCUGCGAUUUGAUUUCAAGCAACAUCGCCUCGAGGGUUCGCACAUCCUCCUUGAUCACCUUCUCUGAGGCGUCUUCGGGCUGCGCGGUGUUUGUUUUCAACUCUUCCACAACGACCCAGAUAUCCUUGACGAUGGUUUCAAGAUUCUCUAGUUCUGAUUUUGAUGCACCGUGUGUUUCCACAUGAGCAGCAAAGCCAUCCAAAAUUUCCUUUGUCUCCUUUGCGAGCGCCUCCAGCGCAUCAGCCCUAUCUGCCGUUAUUCCAUUCGGGCUACUUGUCUCUACUAGCUCGUCAACCUUGGCUUUCAUGUUUACGAGCAGGGUUUCAAUGGCUUCAGUAUCCUCCUUUUUGGCAGCAUUUUCGUCCACUGCGGCCGGGAGGGGUUCACGACUAGCAACUUCGAUCACUAGUUCUUGUACUUCUUUAAUAGAGUUUAGGACAUCCACAAGGUCAUUUUUUUCCACAAGAUUGGCAAGGUUUUCCGAAUCACGUGGUCGGGGUUCAAUUGCUUCGACCUUAUUCUGGAGCUGAGUAACGAGAACUUUCAGACUUUCAAUGUCGCUUCCAAUCAAGGAUUCGUUCGCAAGCAUAACCUCUUGGCCGCGUGCGGUUUGAGUGCCUUCGGCCUCUUUCUGAUCAUGGCGGAGUUGUUCAAUUUCAAACUUGACGCUUGCUAAACCGUCCCUUAGUAAAGUGAAAAGCUCCUCACUUGCGCUUGUGGUUGUCUCCGCUGGCCUAUUCAUGAUCUUUUCCAUAUCAGAGCGGAGGAUAUCGAUUCCGUCAUGGAAGGCAUCGAGGAGUUCCCCAGUGUUAGAAAAAACACUCUCAUUUCCAUCUUUCCUUCUGUUGUGCUCGUCUUGAAUUGCUUCAAAACUCUCCCUGAGAAUGGAAAUUAAUUCGUCUCUUUCAAGAGUCGAAUUUGGUCUCAUAAUUGUGAGGGUAAGGGUUUCCCGUAGAUGCUCGAAUUCCUCUUUAACCAUCUGAGAAGUUUCCGAACUGUUGUUUUUUGAAGUAUCACUUUCUGCAAGAUCGCGGAUAGCAUCAAGAAUUUCAUCCUUGUCACUCGAAGCGCUGUUUCUAAUCAGCA
rnacentral:sRNA from 2 species